AUGGGAAGGAAGCUAACAGCCCUUUCUUGUCAGCCAGCUCUGAUCACCACUGCAAUUAACUGACUCCACGUCCCUGUAAGAUCAGUGCUAUCUUAGCUCCACUUUCUAGACCAGGAUAGCAAGGCUCAGGGACAGAGAUUCCAUCACCUGAGAUUGCACAGUGAGCAAGCUGCAGCAGCACUAGGAUCUGAAUCCAGUUUAUGUGCUUCUCACUGGACUCCCCAGACCGCCUCUGAGACUGUUUACACCAGAGAGACCAUUUUUCUUUUGUUUACGCGCUCAGCAUACAGUAGGCACUUUGAAGCUACUGCUGAAUCGUCAAAGUUCGCAUGCAAGAUGCAACCUAUAUUCAAAGCUUAUCUGGGCAAGUCUACCCAACUGCAAUUAUUUGAGAAUUUGGCAAUGUAUAAAUAAAUCACGUCCAGCCCUCCUGA